rnacentral:piRNA from 1 species
CACACUUUCUUCCUCACUACCCACUAGCC